GUGUCAGCCGCCGCGGUAAUACGUAGGGUGCAAGCGUUAAUCGGAAUUACUGGGCGUAAAGCGUGCGCAGGCGGUUUGCUAAGACCGAUGUGAAAUCCCCGGGCUCAACCUGGGAACUGCAUUGGUGACUGGCAGGCUAGAGUAUGGCAGAGGGGGGUAGAAUUCCACGUGUAGCAGUGAAAUGCGUAGAGAUGUGGAGGAAUACCGAUGGCGAAGGCAGCCCCCUGGGCCAAUACUGACGCUCAUGCACGAAAGCGUGGGGAGCAAACAGGAUUAGAUACCCUGGUAGUCCACGCCCUAAACGAUGUCAACUAGUUGUUGGGGAUUCAUUUCCUUAGUAACGUAGCUAACGCGUGAAGUUGACCGCCUGGGGAGUACGGUCGCAAGAUUAAAACUUAAAUGAAUUGGCGG
rnacentral:rRNA from 1 species